rnacentral:rRNA from 1 species
AUUGAACGCUGGCGGCAUGCUUUACACAUGCAAGUCGUGCGGCAGCGCGAGGGCAACCUUGGCGGCGAGCGGCGAACGGGUGAGGAAUACAUCGGAACGUACCCCGGAGUGGGGGAGUAACCCAGCGAAAGUUGGACUAAUACCGCAUAUGCUCUGAGGAGGAAAGCAGGGGACUUCGCAAGAGGCCUUGCGCUCUGGGAGCGGCCGAUGUCCGAUUAGCUAGUGGUGGGGUAAUGGCUCACCAAGGCGACGAUCGGUAGCUGGUCUGAGAGGAUGAUCAGCCACACUGGGACUGAGACACGGGCCCAGACUCCUACGGGAGGCAGCAGUGGGGAAUUUUGGACAAUGGGGGCAACCCUGAUCCAGCCAUGCCGCGUGCGGG